rnacentral:ncRNA from 13 species
CGUAGUGUAGUUUGGUAAUGCGUCUGCUUUGGGAGCAGAAGACCGGAGGUUCAAAUCCUCCCG